CUCAAUGGUGGGCUGGGCGGGGGCACCGCAAGGUGCGCCGGUAGCCAACGAGGCCGGUAAGACCAACUCCGUUCAGUCCACCACCCGC
rnacentral:antisense_RNA from 1 species